CUUACAAGAGUUUAUUUAGUUGUAGUCUGUGGCAGCAUCGAGACUAAUUCUUUGUUAUGUCUGUGGACGUUUGGGCAAGUCGACUCUUGUUGAAAAUAAAAUACAUGGAAGUUGAAAAUAAAAUGAUGGACGGGUCUUGCAGUUGCAAUUUGCAUUGUCGCGGCCUGCUACUAGUAAAUAAGAUGUGAACGCUGGUUUUAACCUUUGUUUAAUCUGAAUACUUAUCAGCGUCAACAAGCUACAGUUGAGAAAAUCAAGUCUGGUUACUGGGUUUGUGGAAAAAUGUUCCUACACAAUAAAGGAAAACCUUUGUUUAAUCUGAAUACUUAUCAGCGUCAACAAGCUACAGUUGAGAAAAUCAAGUCUGGUUACUGGGUUUGUGGAAAAAUGUUCCUACACAAUAAAGGAAAAAUCAGUCUGCAAUCUAACUUAGCUAAGUUAAGAGUCAAGAAGUUCAGAAAAUUAAAAAGAAAAAUUACACUUUAAAAGUUUUAAGGAUACCAAUGAACAAAACUUUUUUUUUAAAGUUAAAAAGUAAAAUCUUUUUAUUCUGAAAAUCCGCUCUACAGUACAGAUAUGUCAGCAUUGAAUAAUUAUUUGAAAAAGUGGUUUUGUUGUCCUGUCCGUCUGUUUUUAUUCGAUAUUGUUUUGUUGGAGUCAAAAUUGAACACAGUAGCCAUUGCUGCCAGUUAUACAGAUUCACUUAAAUGUGUCUCAAACAUUUAAAAAGUUUGUCUUUUGUUUUUUUUGUUUGGUUGUUUGAUGUUCUUGUUGUUGUUUGUCAUGGAUUGUUGGUCUUGUUAUCCAUUAAGGUUAUUGAUUGUAAAUCUUUGAAAUGUUUGGUUCUUAAAGCUAUUUAUUAUAGGAGGUUCUAGUUCCAAGCGAUGCUCAGUGUACCAUAUCUUAACCCUUAACAAGGCCCAAGAGAACUACACAAUUUACAUAACUUUCAACAAUGGAUUCUAUAUACCAGGGGUCAGCAAGUAGUUUUAAGUAAGGUAGGGAUAAACCUUGAAAAUAUUUACGAAGUCCACUAAAGAAAAAAAAACAAGGGAUAAUAAUUAAGUGUUAGGCAGCUAUUUGUUGUAGGAUUAAAAUUCUGAAAUAUAAAAUUGUAGAAUUAAUGUUAUGAAAAAUUGCAUCAAUGGUCUUGAGCUAAUUAAGUUCUCGAGAAGAACAGCAAAUUCGAAGAGUGCCGUCUAAGUGAGCGUCUGUUAACCCUUGAAUGUUCGAUUUUUUUAUUUCCAUUGAAAAAAAUUAAAAUAUAAGUAGUACUUUAGGCUUACUUUACAGUAAAAAUAGUAAAAAGAAUCUUUGAUAGAUUUUACUGCUUUUUUAUCAAAAAUGUUAAUGUUGUUUUAUAGGUAUGUAUGGGUAUUGUGUCGUACGGGCUCCAACUUUGCAGCAUAGAGCACCGCACGAGCACAACUAUUUGGGGUGCCGGAUUGGUGAAAUGAGAAGGCCCUUAUAAAAACCUAACUUGAUUUAUUGACGCUCCUUUUAGAGGAUAUACAUAUGUAAACAAACAAAGUUUGUUUACUACAAAAACGUGUAGGGCUCCACUGAAGUCCUCGGGGCUCCGUCAACGUCUAUGGGGCUCCGUCGACGUCUAUGGGGCUCUGUCGACGCCUAUGGGGUUCCGCCGUCGGUGAGGGCUUCGCUGUCGCCGCUGAGAGUUUCUUGUCGCCGAUUUCUUGCUGUUUCCCGCUUCUCUUGAGGUGUAGCCGCCGAAUGUGUAGACCCUCUUUUUUUUUUUUU